rnacentral:other from 1 species
GUUCACUGCCACGUAGGCAGCUUAUAAA